rnacentral:rRNA from 1 species
AUAAGGGCGCACGGUGGAUGCCUUGGCACUAGGAGCCGAUGAAGGACGGGACUAACACCGAUAUGCUUUGGGGAGCUGUACGUAAGCUAUGAUCCAGAGAUUUCCGAAUGGGGGAACCCAGCAUCUUUUAUAGGAUGUUACGUUUGCGUGAAUACAUAGCGCAUUCGAGGUAGACGCAGAGAACUGAAACAUCUAAGUACCUGCAGGAAGAGAAAGAAAAUUCGAUUCCCUGAGUAGCGGCGAGCGAAACGGGAAAAGCCCAAACCAAUGAGCUUGCUCAUUGGGGUUGUAGGACUCCAAUAUGGUAGUUCUUUCAGAUAGUCGAAUGACUUGGAAAAGUCAGUCAAAGAGGGUAAAAACCCCGUAGAUGAAAUUUGGAAGGCACCUAGGAGGAUCCUGAGUACGGCGGAACACGAGGAAUUCCGUCGGAAUCCGGGAGGACCAUCUCCCAAGGCUAAAUACUCCCUAGUGACCGAUAGUGAACCAGUACCGUGAGGGAAAGGUGAAAAGCACCCCGGAAGGGGAGUGAAAUAGAACCUGAAACCGUGUGCCUACAACAAGUCAAAGCCCGUUAAUGGGUGAUGGCGUGCCUUUUGUAGAAUGAACCGGCGAGUUACGAUUGCAUGCGAGGUUAAGUUGAAGAGACGGAGCCGCAGCGAAAGCGAGUCUGAAUAGGGCGUUUGAGUAUGUAGUCGUAGACCCGAAACCAUGUGAUCUACCCAUGUCCAGGUUGAAGGUGCGGUAAAACGCACUGGAGGACCGAACCCACGUACGUUGAAAAGUGCGGGGAUGAGGUGUGGGUAGCGGAGAAAUUCCAAACGAACUUGGAGAUAGCUGGUUCUCUCCGAAAUAGCUUUAGGGCUAGCCUCGGAAUUGAGAAUGAUGGAGGUAGAGCACUGUUUGGACUAGGGGCCCAUCUCGGGUUACCGAAUUCAGAUAAACUCCGAAUGCCAUUCAUUCAUAUCCGGGAGUCAGACUGUGAGUGAUAAGAUCCAUAGUCGAAAGGGAAACAGCCCAGACCACCAGCUAAGGUCCCAAAAUAUAUG